ACUCUUCAAAUCAAUGUUUGGUUUCACUUAGCCACUAAAUGUAAGAUUUGAUUAUCUUCAAUUUUGUCUCAGUUACGAGUCUGGACCAGAGGGGCAGCUGGAAGAUGGCUAGAGACUCAUCUUGUUCUUGCGCUCUCUCUUCUGUCCUCAUUCAAAUACAAAUUCACAUGAGUUGUGCUGGCAUAGCAAGUUCCAUUUGACAUUGG